rnacentral:lncRNA from 1 species
AAAAACUGUGGUUGUAAAAUAUGCAGAUAACAACCACACCUUUAUUCAUCAUAAUGGUUAAAAACCAAGCCUUUGUGCACAUCUGUGGUUGUGACCAGUUGGAGAGACAUUAGGAGAUGAGAUACUAUGUUCACUCCUCACAGCUGUACCAGGGACCUGAGAUAUUCCAUCACUAUUCUAUGAAAAAGGCAAAUAUGCAAAGGACACUCAGGUAUGAAAAUCACCCCUCCUCCACGAACCGGUGGCCUGUGAAAGAGGAACCCAAUGAGGAAUUGGCAUACGGGAGCUAUGGUGCAUUACUCACGAGUGACAGAACCAACGAGCUUCAUCUCCCAAGAGACUGGUGCAUCUGUUUAAAGGAGCAGGCACUAUGCAGAGCAGCCCCCACCCCACCCUUCAUGGCAGAGUGCAGUGGGGGAAGGUGGUUACAUCAUCUGGAGACUGAGAACUUGGGAUGCUCCUUGUUCAUCCAAGCAUUUGAACAAAUCCAGUGUCCUUUUUGAGCAAAAUAUGAGCCCCACCUUUAGAAUCUGUGA